UACGUAGGCAGCAAGCGUUGUCCGGAAUCAUUGGGCGUAAAGCGCGCGUAGGCGGCCCGGUAAGUCCGCUGUGAAAGUCAAAGGCUCAACCUUUGAAUGUCAGCGGAUACUGCCGGGCUAGAGUCCGGAAGAGGCGAGUGGAACUCCUGGUGUAGCGGUGGAAUGCGCAGAUAUCAGGAAGAACACCAACGGCGAAGGCAGCUCGCUGGGACGGAACUGACGCUAAGGCGCGAAAGCGUGGGGAGCGAACAGG
rnacentral:rRNA from 1 species